CUUACCUUACAAAAAUGGCAAACCUAAACCAGGGGGGAAAGCAGACCAAAUGUCUCCAGUGUACUUGCUUCCCCAAAACAGAACCCCAUUCUAGGCCAGGGCCCAUAGUCGGUGGGAAGGAGGCUGACCAAGGUAAUGGAGGACUGGUUUACAAUAUCAAAUAGGUAAAGAGUCCAUUAAAGCAAAUAAACUUUGCUUACCGCCUUGACCUUUCUGUAUCCUGCCAUGCUUUUGG